ACUUUUAACGAGGACGAGCACAUCCAGGGGCGUCAAGGGGGUUACGACCCGGCGACAUACCAGUGAGUGGGCAUUGCUUUCUAUAUAUAUACCUAUAUACUCGAUUUCCCCAGAAAUCAAAUUUAAAUGAAAAAUAUAUUGAAAUGAAAUGAAAUAUGAUGUGAUUGCCAUGCAUAGAAUGUUAUGGAUAUUAUGAACUGUCGUAUGAUGCAUAUAUGUAUGAUGGUGCUGUGGACGCACAGGUAAGUAUUUAAUUACUGUUAUGUUGAGGAUGAUGAUAUAUUGAGCUCAUAUCCUGCACCAUGGUUUAGUGCUUAUAGUAUUCACCGCAUCGCACGCUCGCCUUGGAUCCAAGUAGAUGCUGGUCGUACAGUCCACGCGGAGUGGGUACGACGGGCCAGUCGUAGAAUGUUAGUGAGAUUAUGACUGGUGGGUGACCUUAGGUUAUUGUAUACAGAUGAUUGAUGAGAGAAGCACUUGAGCGAAUAUUACCAUGAGUCGUUCAGACUGCAUUAGGUGGUUCCGACUUAUGUGCAGAAGGCCGGACAGGUCACGCGGAGUGACUCCGGCAGAGAGUGAGAUUGAUAGAUGUUGAGCUCUAGGUUCAAUCGUUCAGGACUAUUAGAGGGCCUCCGAUUGAUUAUUUCUUUUACCUGAUUUAUAUUAUGUCAAUGCAUUCAUACUAAACUGCUGAAUUUGGCAUGGUACAUUCUUUAUUGAAUCUGCUAUAAGAUUGUUGAUCGAGACAGUUGAGAUAUAUAUGCUAUAUACUAUUUUUCUGGGAAAGUAUACAGGUUUUCCAAAAAGGGGUUAUAAAUGUGGAUUUAUGAAAUGUUUUGGAAAAGCUUUAUUUUUCGCCCACUCACGUUUUCUGUUUUUCGCCCCUCCAGGUUCUAGUUGAUAGUUGAGGCGUUGGUGGCCUACGAGGACUGCUUCGGCGUUCUGACAGACUAAAUAAAUGUAGGAUUCACCCGAGGGUGUUGUAAAAUAGUUAUGGUCCUACUUGACUGCACCUAGACGCUUAUGCUCUGUUUAUGUGUGUUUAGUACACUCUUAUGCACAUAGAAUGCUAGGUUGUAAAUAACUGCAAUUAGUGGUUUUCGUUGACUCGUAUUUUAUUAUUAAAUCGUUUCCGCUUGCGUUAUGGUUACGUCACACUCACGUGACGGCCAGCACGUUCUAGUCUUCGGGUUAGGGUGUGUCAGUUUGGUAUCAGAGCAUAGGUUGCAGUCCUGUAUAACUAGUGAUUUUACUUAUUAAUUUUUGGAUGUUUUCUGUCAGAAUUAUGCCGCCUCGUAGAGAUCCUCGCCGUGCUGCUGAGCCUAAUUUCCCCGAUAUAACUCAGCUAGGGGCAUCAAUGGCUCAAGCUUUUCAGGCUAAUAUCCGUCCUCCUCAGAGAACACCUGUAGAGACGAUGUAUAAUCUGAAAUUGGAAACCUUUGAGGGAAAUGAAGGUUAUGAAGGGGCAGAAAAGUGGUUGGAUCGGAUUGAGCAGACCUUUCAAGUGAUGCAAAGUCAAGGAAACCUGCCAGCUAAUAGAUGGGUGGAGACCACCACCUGGUUUUUGGGCCGUGAGCCAGCGGCGUGGUGGAUAAAUCAGUCGAGGCACAUGGCACCUGAAAGGACAGCCGAAUGGGAGGUAUUUAAGGAAAAUUUUAUGAAGAGAUUUGUUCCUCCGGAAUAUAUAGAUCGCAAGAAACAGGAAUUCACCAGUCUGAAGCAGAGAAAUAUGUCCGCACAUGAGUACUACAGGAAGUUUACUGAUUUAUCCCGUUAUGAUUCUGAUUUAGCGGGUAAUCAAGCAGAAAUGCUUCGUCGUUUCAAGUUAGGAUCUAAGAAGAAGUACAGAACGUUUGCCAAUGCACUUCCCUGUGCCGAUUAUCAUGAGUAUUUUGAGAUUCUGGUCCGGAUGGAAGACUCUGAUAAUCUUCCGGACAGUGAGGAUGAAGAGGAUAAGGGUAAUGGUCAGAAGAAAAAUGAGAAAGGUAAAGGUGUUUCCAUUCCAGGACCUCGUCAGAUGCAGAAUUUUAAGAAGAGUGGAAUGAGUUCUAGUUCUUCCAGUGGUGGAUUUAGUGCCACAGGUCCGAGGAGAGGAGGUGGUAGGUUUGGUAAUGGACCUAGAUUUUCUGGUCAGAGAGGCUUUGGUGGUACUGGUAGUUCGGGUUCUCCGUUAUGUCGCCGUUGUAAUUUCCGACAUUAUGGGGAAUGUAGGAGAAUCAGUGGUGCAUGCUUUACAUGUGGUCAGACAGGACAUAGAGCUAUGAAUUGUCCCCAGAAUCAGCAGAGGCCCCAGCAGCCUGUUAGGCCAACACCAGCACCGACUCAACAGAACUUUAAUUCAGGCAGUUAUGGCCAGGUUGGUCGUGGUGGUGCUUAUCAUUAUCAGGGUGAUGCUACUCCAUAUGCUCCAGGACAGUAUCACUAUUCCCAGGAUCCUUAUUCUCAGAGUGGAUAUUCUCAGGAUCAGGGAGGUUAUACUUCAUAUCCGUCUAUGCCAGCUAGCGGAUCUCAGUGGUAUCAGGGGGGUCAGCCCCAACAGAGCGGAGUUGCUGCUAGCAGUGCAGGGUCGUUUAGGCCGCCUGCCCAGACAGGUCAAGGAAGUAUUCAUCAGGGACGAGGUAAUCAGAGUGGCAGAUGUCGUGGAGGACGACAGCCAGCUCAGGGACGUGUUAACCACAUAUCGCUGCAAGAUGCUCAGAACCAUCCAGACUUGAUUAUGGGUACGUUGAAUGUUCUUGGUCAUUUUGCUAGAGUCUUGAUUGAUUGUGGUGCUACACACUCUGUGAUUUCUCAUACAUUUGCUCAAAUGACACAACCUCAUCCUUCACCUCUAGGGUUUGAUUUAGAGUUUGCUAUGCCUAGAGGGGAUAAAUGUUAUGUUGAUAGUUUUUACUCUGGGUGUCCAGUGAUGGUAGAUAAUGUCAUUAUGCCUGCUAAUCUUAUCCCGUUAGACAUCGUGGAUUUUGAUGUGAUUUUAGGGGCGGAUUGGUUGCAUUAUAAUCGCGCCCAUAUAGAUUGUUACGGGAAAUCAGUUACUUUUCUUCGUCCUGGACUACCUGAGGUUACAUUUGUGGGUGAAAGAAAUGGGGUGAGGCAUGGUGUUAUUUCAGCCAUAAGGGCAAAGAAGUUGUUAUCCAAGGGUUGUCAGGGAUACUUGGCACAUGUGGUGUUAAAUGAUGUUGAUUCCGGUAGUGUGGAGGAAGUCGGAGUAGUCAGACACUAUCCUGAUGUAUUUCCAGAUGAUUUACCUGGGUUGCCUCCAGAUAGAGAUGUGGAAUUUUCGAUUGAUUUACUUCCAGGUACGAACCCUAUCUCUUUGACUCCUUAUAGAAUGGCACCAUCGGAAUUAAGAGAGUUGAAAAUUCAAUUGCAAGAGUUAAUUGAUAAAGGUUUCAUUCAGCCUAGUUCUUCACCGUGGGGAGCUCCGGUGUUGUUUGUAAGAAAGAAAGAUGGAACUUUGAGAUUGUGCAUUGAUUACAGGCAAUUGAAUCGGGUGACGAUUAAAAACCGUUAUCCCUUGCCUCGUAUAGAUGAUUUGUUUGAUCAGCUCAAAGGUGCCUGUGUGUUUUCUAAGAUCGAUUUGAGGUCUGGGUAUUAUCAAUUAAAGAUUAAAGAUGAGGAUGUUCAUAAAACAGCUUUCAGGACUCGUUAUGGGCAUUAUGAGUUUUUGGUGAUGCCAUUUGGAUUAACGAACGCUCCUGCAGCUUUCAUGAGAUUGAUGAAUGAAGUAUUCCAGGAAUAUCUUGACAAGUUUGUUAUUGUUUUUAUUGAUGACAUCCUGGUAUAUUCUAAGUCGAAAUCAGACCAUAUUCGACAUCUUAACUUGGUGUUAAGGAAAUUGAGGGAACACCGAUUAUAUGCCAAAUUUAGUAAAUGUGAAUUUUGGCUGGAUCAAGUGGCAUUUUUGGGACAUGUGGUAUCAGCUCAGGGAAUUCAAGUGGAUCCUCAAAAGAUAGCAGCAGUGGAAAAUUGGGAACAACCUCGAACGGUCACUGAGGUGCGGAGUUUUCUUGGUUUGGCAGGUUAUUAUAGACGGUUUGUUCAAGACUUUUCUAUGAUUGCCUUGCCAUUAACGAAGUUAACCAGGAAGGAUGUUAAGUUUGAAUGGGAUGAAAGUUGUGAGCAAAGUUUCCAGCAGUUGAAGUAUUGCCUUACUCAUGCACCUGUGUUAGUACUUCCUGAUGAUGAUGGUAACUUCGAGAUCUAUAGUGAUGCUUCUUUGAAUGGUUUGGGUUGUGUUUUGAUGCAGCAUAGUAGAGUGAUUGCCUAUGCUUCUAGGCAGUUGAAGACUCAUGAAAGAAACUAUCCGACUCACGAUCUUGAGUUAGCAGCUAUUGUGUUUGCUUUGAAGAUCUGGAGACAUUAUCUCUAUGGCGAGAAAUGUAAGAUCUUUACAGAUCAUAAAAGCCUUAAGUACCUUUUCACUUAGCAUGAUCUUAAUCUUCGUCAGAGAAGAUGGUUGGAAUUGUUAAGUGAUUAUGAUUGCACGAUUGAGUACCAUCCGGGUCGUGCAAAUGUGGUAGCUGAUGCUCUGAGUAGAAAACCUCAAGGGCGACUUAAUGCUUUGUAUGCCAGUCGUGUUUCUCUUCUUGCAGAGUUGAGAUCUACUGGAGUAGAGUUAGAAUUGGAAGAGCAAAGUGAAGCUUUUCUUGCCAAUUUUCAAGUCAAGCCAAUUUUAAUUGAUCGGGUGCUUACAGCUCAAUCGUUGGAUGAAGAAAUUCAAGAAUUGAUCAGUUUAAGAAAGGAAAGCUAAGCCCCAGGUACAUUGGACCUUAUGAGAUCACUGAGAGGAUUGGUGAAGUUGCUUACAGGUUGGAGCUACCUCCAGAGUUGUCUAAGGUACAUAAUGUGUUCCAUGUCUCGAUGCUUCGACAUUAUGUUUCAGAUCCUUCACAUGUGAUUCCUCCUCAACCAUUGGAAAUUAAUCCGGACUUGACGUACGAUGAGGAACCAGUGACUAUACUGGAUUGGAAAGAUAAAACUUUGAGGAAUAAGACCGUGAACUUGGUAAAAGUAUUGUGGAGAAACCAUUCAGCGGAAGAAGCUACAUGGGAGACAGAAGAACGGAUGAGAGAUAUGUAUCCGAGGCUAUUUUAUGAGUAUUGAGGGUUUGGUUGGUGACUGGAAUUUCGGGGACGAAAUUCUAUAAGGAGGGGAGAUUGUCACAGCCCGUCCCAGAAUUACUUAAUACCGAGGACGUGAAAUUACAGAAACGCCCUUAAACGGGAUUAAGGUGCGUAAUUUUGACAUUUGUUUUACUUUAAGAUCCUAAACUAGGGUUAGAAUUAUAUAUUUGUAUGUGUUAAUAUUAUAUGGGUUAAGGUAGGGCCUUAUACCCUAAAUCCCUCCCCAAAACCCGUUUUGUUGUCUCUCUCUCAUCUCCCUAGUCACUCUCUCUCUCUUAUUCUUCAGAAAACACUCUCUCACUCUCUCUCUUACUCUCAUUCUCUCUCAAACUCUCGGACAAACACCCAAGACCUUGAAAACUUCACAAGUUAAGGUUGAGGAAGGUAGCAUCGUGUUCGUAAGGACCAUACGAACACAUUGAUAUUGUUUUCAGGUAAGAUUUCCCACGAUUCCAUGUAGAAAACUUAAGCUCCGAGAUUGCUACUGUUCAUGAACUUAAAUUUGGUUGUGUUUUAGGUUAAACAAAGAUCACCACGAGUCUUAGGAAGUCCCAAGGAGGCUCGGAGUGCCUCAUUUGAACAAAAUGGACGUCGGGAUCGUCGGGUUCGAGUUUGGCCGAAAUUGAGGAAUUUUGGAAGGUAUGAUCUCGUAGUUUUUAGGCCUUAAAACCCUUCCAACGUGAUAAUGCUUCAUUUUGGUGUAAAAUUCGAAGAAAUUGGACGAAAAACGAAGGAGAAUAGUGGAUUUGAAAAUUUUCCAGAAACCGGCGACCGGCGACUCGCCGGAGAAGACAGGGAAUCUUCCGUCAAGUUUGACGGAAUAUUCCGACGCCGUUAGUUAACUUUAACGGAAACCGUUAGUUUUUAACGGAAUAUUCCGGGAAUAUUCCUAACGCCGUUCACUGUACCGUCAGUGUGCCUGGCACGUGGCUGCGCGUGGGCCGCGCGUAGGUCCGUGCCACGUCAGGCGCGUGGGGGCGCGUGGAGCAUCCAAAAAUUAUUUUAAAAAUAUGGGGAUGAUCCUGAGGUUGUGUAGGUCACUGUGGUAUAUUCAUAUACCCAAUUUGAGCAUCGUAUGAAGAAUUUAUUACCUAGUUGGUUUAGGUGCGUUUAAUGUGCGUUAAAUGAUUGUUUUAAGUUAUUUCACUUCUAGGUGGAACUUUUAACGAGGACGAGCACAUCCAGGGCGUCAAGGGGGUUACGACCCGGCGACAUACCAGUGAGUGGGCAUUGCUUUCUAUAUAUAUACUUAUAUACUCGAUUUCCCCAGAAAUCAAAUUUAAAUGAAAAAUAUAUUGAAAUGAAAUGAAAUAUGAUGUGAUUGCCAUGCAUAGAAUGUUAUGGAUAUUAUGAACUGUCGUAUGAUGCAUAUAUGUAUGAUGGUGCUGUGGACGCACAGGUAAGUAUUUAAUUACUGUUAUGUUGAGGAUGAUGAUAUAUUGAGCUCAUAUCCUGCACCAUGGUUUAGUGCUUAUAGUAUUCACCGCAUCGCAACGCUCGCCUUGGAUCCAAGUAGAUGCUGGU
rnacentral:lncRNA from 1 species